ACACAUGCAAGUCGAGCGGGGGAAGGUAGCUUGCUACCGGACCUAGCGGCGGACGGGUGAGUAAUGCUUAGGAAUCUGCCUAUUAGUGGGGGACAACAUCUCGAAAGGGAUGCUAAUACCGCAUACGUCCUACGGGAGAAAGCAGGGGAUCUUCGGACCUUGCGCUAAUAGAUGAGCCUAAGUCGGAUUAGCUAGUUGGUGGGGUAAAGGCCUACCAAGGCGACGAUCUGUAGCGGGUCUGAGAGGAUGAUCCGCCACACUGGGACUGAGACACGGCCCAGACUCCUACGGG
rnacentral:rRNA from 1 species